GAUGAAGAACGUAGCGAAAUGCGAUACUUGGUGUGAAUUGCAGAAUCCCGUGAACCAUCGAGUCUUUGAACGCAAGUUGCGCCCGAAGCCACUAGGCCGAGGGCACGCCUGCCUGGGCGUCACACGCCGUUGCCCCCCCAUCUACUCCUUCGGGAUUGCGGGGGGGGCGGAUGAUGGCCUCCCGUGCGCCUAGCCGCGCGGUUGGCAUAAAUACCAAGUCCUCGGCGACGCACGCCACGACAAUCGGUGGUUGCGAAACCUCGGUUGCCCGUCGUGUGCGUUCGUCGCGCAUCGAGGGCUCGAAAAAAUGCUCGGCUCCGGCUGGGCUUUCAACGCGACCCCAGGUCAGGCGGGGUUACCCGCUGAAUUUAAGCAUAUCAAUAAGCGGAGGA
rnacentral:misc_RNA from 1 species